UCAACCCUCAAGCUUGGCUUGUUGUUGGAUCACCUCCCUGUGAAGGGGAUGGAUCCCAAAGACAAUGACGGAGUCGGUUGAACCCGAGAUGCAACGAGCUUUCAAUAGCACGCAUCAGAAAGGAUCGACCGUUCUGGUCUCAACCAUAUUACUUUUCUAA
rnacentral:misc_RNA from 1 species